GCAGUGUACCCGCGGCAAGACGGAAAGACCCCGUGAACCUUUACUAUAGCUUGACACUGAACACUGGUCCUUGAUGUGUAGGAUAGGUGGGAGGCUUUGAAGUGUGGACGCCAGUCUGCAUGGAGCCAUCCUUGAAAUACCACCCUUUAAUGGCUGGUGUUCUAACGUGGGCCCCUAAUCGGGGUUGCGGACAGUGUCUGGUGGGUAGUUUGACUGGGGCGGUCUCCUCCCAAAGAGUAACGGAGGAGCACGAAGGUUAGCUAAUCCUGGUCGGACAUCAGGAGGUUAGUGCAAAGGCAUAAGCUAGCUUGACUGCGAGAGUGACGGCUCGAGCAGGUGCGAAAGCAGGUC
rnacentral:rRNA from 1 species